rnacentral:rRNA from 1 species
UGCCGCGUGUCUGAAGAAGGCCUUCGGGUUGUAAAGGACUUUUGUCAGGGAGGAAAACCUGCGUGUUAAUAGCGUGCGGGGAUGACAGCACCUGAAGAAUAAGCACCGGCUAACUACGUGCCAGCAGCCGCGGUAAU